rnacentral:rRNA from 12 species
GCACCAGAGUGCAAUUGCCCGAUAGCAUCCAAUCUCAGAAGUUAAACAGGGCCAUGCCUGGUUAGUACUUGGAUGGGAGACCAACUUGUAGACAAGGCAUUCUGGAACG